GACGUAGGGCGCGAGCGUUGUCCGGAUUUAUUGGGCGUAAAGAGCGUGUAGGCGGCCAGAAAAGUCCGCUGUGAAAACUCGAGGCUCAACUUCGAGCUGUCGGUGGAAACUUUCUGGCUAGAGUCCGGAAGAGGAGAAUGGAAUUCCUGGUGUAGCGGUGAAAUGCGCAGAUAUCAGGAAGAACACCCGUGGCGAAGGCGGUUCUCUGGGACGGUACUGACGCUGAGGCGCGACAGCGUGGGGAGCAAACAGG
rnacentral:rRNA from 1 species